ACGUGUAGGUGGCUAAUUAAGUCAGGUGUGAAAUCCUUCCGCUUAAACGGGAGAAGUGCACUUGAAACUGCUUAGCUAGAGUACGGGAGAGGAAGGUGGAAUUCCUGGUGUAGAGGUGAAAUUCAUAGAUAUCGGGAAGAACACCGGUGGCGAAGGCGGCCUUCUGGCCCGAUACUGACGCCGAGACGCGAAAGCGUGGGGAGCAAACAGGAUUAGAUACCCUGGUAGUCCACGCCGUAAACGUUGGGCACUAGGUGGAGGAGGUUUUUAUUCCUUCUUUGCCGAAGCUAACGCAUUAAGUGCCCCGCUGGGGAGUACGGUCGCAAGGCUAAA
rnacentral:rRNA from 1 species